AUGUCCGAUCCUCGCCCGCAGGACGCCGAGGAUUCGACAUGGGGUGGCUGCUCUCUCCAUGGCCUCAACAUUAAGGUGAAGGGCCAUCUCCCCGGCGGCGGUGUGCCACCUGCUCCUAGAAUGUCUCCGUAUUUCUGGGGCGAGGAUCCCGUGGGAGGCUUCCCACUGCAGACCGGCUACUCGGAGGCGAGGGCCUUGAUCGGCAAGGGAGCCGUAGCAGAUUUUCGAAGGCUUUCUCGCCAGGCGGAAGACAUGGUGGCGGAGCUGUUUGCAAGCAUCGGCAAGGAGGCGCCAAAAGCGGCGCGGCCCAGGCCCAGGGUGGUGCAGCUGCGGCUGUCCCCAGAGCUCGCGCUGUGGAAAAGUACGCAGCAUGCAAUGGGCAACGUGCUUCCCCCUAAGGGCAAGGGGCUGAACCAAGCGUCGCCGGAGGUGCUUGCCGCACUGGGCGCCGCUGACUGGCCCGAGGCCAUGACAACCAACGACGCCCUGUUCGGGUGCGGCAUCGCGAACCUGCUCAUUGGCGCCGCCGACGUGCGUACCCUCUUCUCCAACUACGUGACGGACAUGGUCUUUUACUACGAGCACGGGUACGACCACGUCUUCCCCUCGCUCCACCGGCUGCUCCACGACGGGCUCGUUGACGACCGGGCGCUGCGCACCCUGGGCGGCCAGGAACGACGCGAGGUCGUCGCGGUCGGCGCGUCCUACAUCCAGGCCAAGAUCGCUCUGGAGGAGGCGCACAGGACGCGCCUCAAAGACUACUCCUCGCAUCUGGACCGUCAGGCAGCUCAGGUCAUCCUCCUGGCUGACAGCAGCAUCCUCGGCAUGGGGGCCGAGGCCACGGCCCGGGGCUUUGACCCCGGCGCCGUCAUGAGUGACCUCGUCUUCAGCAAGCCGGCGACUGACGUGGUUGACGUGGGAAGCGACUUGGUCAACUCGGAGGUGAUCAACUCGUUCCUCAACGUGGCCGACAUCGCCGUCUCGGGCGUCGUGAGCGAGACGGCGCUGCGGGCCAUCUACGACGCCUACGCCGCCACGUGUGCGCGGAUGUUCACCCAGAGAUGGCACGAGCCGUUGGUCCGGAUGUGCGCCACAGGAACGACGUGGCACAUCCAAAACGACCGGCACAUGUUCCUCCGGCGGGCGCUACUGGGAUGGCCCAAGGCCCGCAAGUCGCCAGCGCGGCCGCAGCGCGAGGGCGACUUCGACGAGGUCUUUGACGCCGACUUCCGCACUACCGGCUUCAGCAGGCCACUCGACCCCGAGUACGCCUGCGACGGCGGCGAGGAAACCUGUAACCACGUGCGCCGCUUCCUCGGUCGCCAGGACCGAGACCUGCUAGGCGCCCUCUGGUGGUCCGUCGUCACUGGCCCGCUGGAGUACGUCCGGCAGGGAAAGGUGGACGAGCAGCGUGAGCAGCACCUCGCCGAAUUGUCGCGCCUGCAGAUGGCCCAGCUCUUCUCCAAGGGCCUCGUCCACGAAAUGGCGUGGCUCCUUGCCCAUGCGUGCCACCACGCUUGGCAGGUGAACUACCUGUACGAGGCCGCCAUGUUUGGCAGUCUCCUGGACGGGGGCACAUUGAUAGCCAGGCUCGACCGAGCAGAGGAUGAGACAAGGACAUGA
rnacentral:rRNA from 1 species